AUAAGUAAGACGUGAACAGUAUUGACUGGACUGCUCAGCUGCAAGCAAGGAGGAAACAGCAUUGAUUGGACAACAAGUUGGCGAUGGCAAGCUGGAGGACUGCCGGAAAUGAGGAUAAAAAGGGAGCCCGUGCACCGCUCUCCAUCCUUUCAAGGAUCAUGGCCUGGUGCGUGUAAACCACCGGGAGCGGAAGAAAGAAGAGCGGAGCUGUCACUGGGCUGUCACUGACGAGAUCCUGACCCGCUCCUGACCUGUCCCAGCCACGGCUUUCUGAGCUGCGUCCGUUCCUGAGCCGUUUCAGCCGCAGUCUCCUGUUUGCGGCUUUAGCCGCAUGAGCCGCCCUGUUCCUGUCUAGUGCCCGUCUGAUAAAAGUUGCUGUAACACUUUCGGCUUUGCCGCCGAACCAAGGGCCCAGUGUGUGUGAACCUCUGGAUCUCCACGCAUCCGGAGCUGAAGAGGCAGCCCGCUAGCUUUGGCUAAGCGGCACAAGGCGAGGACGGGAUCAAGCGGCCAGCGGCGCUGCUGCAUUGCCGCCCUGCUGUCGGGCCUGACCAGCAGAGCCGCCUCGCCUGGAGUCCUUAUCAGCCCGCUGCCAGAGCUGACCGCAGAGCCGGACCAGGCCUCUCAGCAGGGGACCUCUCCAACUUCUCGCCUUGUUGCCCGCCUGGGAACUUUGAGCCUACCGCCCAGAGUGAUAGCCUUCCCAUGACUUCCGGCUGCCUGCAGAGUGGACAGUGAGAGACAGAGAGAGAGAGAGAAAGGUCUUCCUUUGCCGUUGGUUCACCCUCCAAUGGCCGCUGCAGCCAGCGCGCUGCGGCCGGUGCACCACGCUGAUCCGAUGGCAGGAGCCAGGUACUUCUCCUGGUCUCCCAUGGGGUGCAGGGCCCAAGUAUUUGGGGCCAUCCUCCACUGCACUCCCUGGCCACAGCAGAGAGCUGGCCUGGAAGAGGGGCAACCGGGACAGAAUCCAGCGCCCCGACCGGGACUAGAACCUGGUGUUCCAGUGCUGCAAGGCAGAGGAUUAGCCUAGUGAGCCGCGGCGCCGGCCUAAUGUAUUCAUUUUUAACAGAUGAGUAAGCAGAAGCCCCAGGAGGAAAAAAUGCCUUGCCAAAGUUACAUAGCUCACUGAAGAGGAGGCAAGACUAGAAAUCGGGAUUCCUAACUCAAAAUCCUGUAUUUUUAAAAUAACAUAAUGCAUUUUAUUAAUCAUCACAAAACUCUGCCAAUUUAGAAAAUAAACUAUUAAGCUCCAAUUUUUUUAAAAAGUCAAUAUGCUCUACAUAAAGAAAUUAUUUGCAAGUUAGUAUAUACACCAAGUUGACACAGAACCAAAACCUUACAGGCUACAUAAUAAAGUAAUUCACCAUACUCCAGGAAAUGCAAAAUAACAAGCAUAAAAAAAAAAAAAACAAAAAACUAAAAACACUAACUUUAGCAAAUGGUGACUGGCAAAAUAAUGGAAGUGGGUCUUCAAAAUUUGAAUAAUUACAAGGUCAAAAUUUUGUUUUCUGUCAGGGAAAACUGGUCACAGUGGCCAAUAAAAUGAGAGUCCAUUAUGAGCAAUGUUAUCAUACCAAUGAAUAUAUCCAAGAAAAGACAUAAUAGAUUUCCUGAGACAGGUGAUUAUAUGAAACAUACCUUAAGGAAAUGACCUUUCAGUGCAUUCAAAUAGGCUGAACUACUCUAUCUUACAGGAAAUAAUGUACUGGUUUAGGUUCUGAGUAACAUAUAAGUGAACACAUUAUUUCCUCUUAUGGCAACAAAAUUUUAAUUUGCGGGGGGGGGGUGGCGGGGAGGGAGAAAGAGACAGAUAGCUAGAUAUUCCAGUUACUUAUUGGUCUACUCCCCUAAAGCCCUCAGGCACCUGGGAGCCAGGAACUCAAUCCACAUCUCCCAUGUGAGUGGCAGGUACCAAUUAUUUGAUCCAUAACCUGCUGCCUCUCAGGGUCUGCACAGGUAGGAAGCUGGAAUCAGAAGCCUGGGCUAUGAGUUGAGCCCAGGCACUCCAAUAUGGGAUGCAGGUGUCCUAGGUAACAGGAGUUUAACAUCUUCCUAGAAGAUUUGGAACCUGAGAGAAAACCGUAAUCCUAUAUAAAUUUAUUAAAGAAGUAUAAAAUUCAAAUUAAAUUAGAAAAAAAGAAAAACUUGGGAGACUGAUUACAGUCAGUUGAAAAGUAAAGGAUGUUUAAUCUUCCUUUGCUUUUCUCAAAAUUCACAUAACUAGAACCAAGGGAAAAAAAAAACUG